rnacentral:tRNA from 1 species
UAGCUCAGCUUGGUAGAGUACUUGGCUUGGGACCAAGGGGUCGCAGGUUCGAAUCCUG